AGGCGCGUAGCUCAGUUGGUUAGAGCACUACCUUGACAUGGUAGGGGUCGGUGGUUCGAAUCCACUCGCGCCUACCA
rnacentral:tRNA from 1 species